UCAGGCACAGAUAAUGAAAAAUAUUUUCUCUUUUUUUUUUUUUUUUUUUCCUGUGGGAGCGACUGUUAUGGUGUAAUGUAAAUGUGUGUCUUGGCGAGCACAUGGAAGGAAUUAAUGACGACAUCCCAAAUAUCAUGCUAUGGAAAACAAGUUAUCCGUACACAAUAACUCUGUUAGCUGGCUUCUAUGAAGAAUACUUCUGAGAAGCUUGAUGACAACGGCACUCGACUGGGCAGUGAAGCACGGCAAUCUUGAGAUGGCAGAGAUGGUCGCCAAAGCAGGCGUCGAUGUCAGUGCUAAAUCGUGAGCUUAGACUGGAUAAUUUGGGGUUGGAAUAUCCUCUAUGCAUGUUUUUUCCAGUGGAAUUUACUCCUUAAGUCUGCACAGUAUUCCACAGAGCAGCUGUCCACAGCAAGAAACUCAUCAUUCACUCUCUGAUCAGCACAUACACGUUACCCUCCUGCUAUUAUUUAGCUGAACAGUUUCAGUGUCUGGGUGCCUUGUGGAAGUUGGGAAGGAAAAUCAAAGGUCACAAGGAAGAUGGAAAAAGGGAAGGGUGAGAAGACAUCUGAGAUGGAAACAGAGACAAAUGACUCUUCCCUUGAGGUAACAUCAGAUACAGGAGAAGCUCCCCUGUGCUGCACUGGAGUCCAACAGAAGGAGAGACUAGCUCGAGGCUACAGCCGAACUCCUUAUGAACGGAAAAAGGAAGGCUGCUCCCGUAAUGGGCUGUGAAAUACUGACCUUCCAGAAUAGCCAUUUUAAGGAGCUUUUGGGUUUUGUUCAGCUGCGGCGAGGAAAGUGUAAUUGUGCUGCCCAGUUCUGUUUGAACAAGUGAGUUGUGCACUUCACUGGAGGAAUGCAUGGAGUGUGUUGAAAGCACAGAUACGGAAGUGUGGCCAGGAAUGUGAUGGAGUGGAUAUAAAAUGAGUGAAGACAAGUGUCCUCAUGCUGGCUGCGGUGGUGACGUGCAUUAUCUCGGCGUUAUCAGGAGAUAGAUGUUUGCAUUCCCAUGGGUCAGUGCAAGUUGUCACAGUUUCAACUUCCAGCUUUUUCUUAUGGAAAUAACAUCACGAGGCAAAGAGCAUGAAAAGUCCUCUGCUUGCUUGCACCUCCACAUGUGAUCUUACAAUCCUGAAUGCUCUCUAGAGGAAUUAGGGGGUGCAGUGUGAAAGUAUGAUAAUUGCUUUAUCAAUGGUCCUUUGCUUCUAUUUAUAGCAACAAAGUUGAUAAAAAGGUUUUAUUUCACUCCUCCUUUUCCUACUCAUUGAAUAUCUUUGCUAGUGAGACAUUUUCAAGGGGGAAUGAGAUAUGCAGAGAUUUUUGUUUUAUCCUUACCUCUAUUAAAAAAAAAAAAAAAAAGGGUUAGAUGGAGUUCUGAGCAGUAAGGUUUUGAUGCAUACAUUUAAUGCUGCCUCUCUAGAAAGACAUUGCUCUCCUGGAAUGGCAAAUAGCUCAAAUCAUUCCAGAGUGAAACAAAAACAAGCAGCAGAACUUCUCCACAGGUUUAGCAAAAGGCAGUUAAGUAGUUGUCAUUAUUUCUGAUCUGCCAAUCAAUUAUUUGUAUUAAUUAAAGGAUCCCUUUAGAUCUGUUUCUCAGAUCCAUAACAGUCAACAGGAAGAGGAAUGUGUGGCAUGGAAUCUUGAUUCCUGUAUUUACUGCAUGUUAUGUCUGCUCCUGUGUGUGUGACUAUACCAUCUGAUAAGGUGAAACACCCUGUAUAUACUAGUAAUUAGUAAUUAGUCAUAAUUUCAUGUAAUUAUUACAGCAAUUUCUGUGGUAACUAUCACGUGUCUCAGACAUCUCUACAUUAUGAAGCCAGAUUUGAAAUUUUCAAUUAAUAUAUAAUUAGCCCAUUGAAGUAUGUUACAUACUUCUGCUUUAUCCCAGCCUUUUUGAGCU